CAGACAGUGUUGAUCAAAUUGAUGCACAAAGGGUGCUAGGAUAUGUUCUUUUCAUGGAUGGGAAAAAAACUAAGCUGCCUUAUCCUUUGGAGAAGUUUCAUGCUGAAGUGGUUGGCAGGAGCUUCCAUGAUGGACGUUUUAUACAGAUGAUGAGAGAAAAGUGUACGAAUGGAGCAGGGCACUGUGACAUCUCUUCUUGAACAGGAUAACAAAACUGUUGUAGGGGCCCUGUACAGAACUAAAGGUGGUGAACAACUUAAAGCAUAUGCUCCCCUCACAGUUAUUUGCGAUGGUUGUUUCUCAAAUCUGCGUCGGUCUCUUUGCCACCCCAAGGUUAAAAUGUCUUCUAAAUAGUUGAGUGACAAUACUUUCCUUUUAGUGACACCAUAUAUCGUGCUUAUGAUCAAUUCAGACACAGUUUGUAGAUGUUAUGAAAUCUGGAGGAUUUGAUUCAUCAGUUUUGCACAAGUUUUGGCUCCCCUAAUAUGUUAUUAGCCACUUGCCAGGUUGAAGUACCCUCCUCUUUCGUGGGUUUAGUUCUGGAGAAUUGUCAACUCCCAUGGGCAUGUUAUUCAAGUUGAUCCUUCCCCUAUCUUAUUUUAUCGUAUCAGCAGCACUGAGGUUCGCUGCUUAGUUGAUAUACCAAGUCCAAAAGUCCCUCUUAUUUGGAGCGGAAUGGCCAAUUAUCUGAAGACUACAGUUGCUUCCCAGUGUGCGUUUGGCAUAAUAUUUCCAAUCAUCAAGGCUGAAGGAAUAAGACAAAUGUUUUUCCCCACAUCCAUAGCAGCUUUUUAUAGAGCUCCUCCUCACAGGUGAUGCAUUGAGGAUUAAGUAAUACUCACACUCCUCUCUCUACUAUGCAUUUUCAACUUCAAAUUAAGAGGAAUUUUGAUGGAGGCAAAGACAUUUGUUAUGCCACUUGGAUGAGGAGUUUCGAUGGGUUGUAGCAUUUAAUUCAUCAAUCCGCUUGGUUGUCAUUGUACCAAAAGAAACAGAGGCAUUGCCUUCAACCUGAAAAUUGUGAGCAUGUACCAUAAAUUCUAUUAUAUUUUCCUUGAACCAAAGAAGGAUACAUACAUUCUGGUUCUUAACUCAGAAUUAGACAGAAUCAUUGCGUACUUGUAACCAAAAGGAAACAAUACAUACGUUGAAGAAUAGUGUGGAAA